GAUACUUCAGAGCCGUCAGGUGCGGCUG
rnacentral:sRNA from 1 species